rnacentral:rRNA from 1 species
UACGUAGGGGGCAAGCGUUGUCCGGAUUUAUUGGGCGUAAAGAGCGUGUAGGCGGCCUGAAAGGUCAGCUGUGAAAACUCGAGGCUCAACCUCGAGACGUCGGUUGAAACCAUCUGGCUAGAGUCCGGAAGAGGAGAGUGGAAUUCCCGGUGUAGCGGCGAAAUGCGCAGAUAUCGGGAAGAACACCCGUGGCGAAGGCGGCUCUCUGGGACGGUACUGACGCUGAGACGCGAAAGCGUGGGGAGCGAACAGG